rnacentral:rRNA from 1 species
GACGAACGCUGGCGGCGUGCUUAACACAUGCAAGUCGAACGGUGAAGCGCCUUCCUUUUUGGUGGGUGUGGAUGAGUGGCGAACGGGUGAGUAACACGUGAGUAACCUGCCCCCUUCUUCUGGAUAACCGCAUGAAAGUGUAGCUAAUACGGGAUAUUCUGGGUCUGUCGCAUGAUGGGUCUGGGAAAGAUAUUGUUUCGGUGGGGGAUGGGCUCGCGGCCUAUCAGCUUGUUGGUGGGGUGAUGGCCUACCAAGGCGGUGACGGGUAGCCGGCCUGAGAGGGUGGACGGUCACACUGGGACUGAGACACGGCCCAGACUCCUACGGGAGGCAGCAGUGGGGAAUAUUGCACAAUGGGCGCAAGCCUGAUGCAGCGACGCCGCGUGAGGGAUGGAGGCCUUCGGGUUGUGAACCUCUUUCGCCAGUGAAGCAGGCCUGCCUCGUUUGUGGGUGGGUUGACGGUAGCUGGAUAAGAAGCGCCGGCUAACUACGUG